CGGGAUGUGACAGAGCCACAGGGCGAGGGGCGGCUGCUCGCAUCAGUGACUGCCCUGUGCGUUUGGCAUGUGUUGCAUUUCCACUGAAGCCAGCUGGCAGGGACGGCUGCACGGACGCUCGGGUCGGAGCCACUGACUUUGGAUGGGCUGCCAGAGCUGGGUGAAGGCAUGGCUCACCACGAGCCCUGCAGCACUGGACCUGUCACGCUGAUGUCACCACGCAGCCUCAGCCCCAGGGAGCCAGGAGACACUUGGCACAGGGCUGGGGGCAGCGUGGGACUGGGACAGAUGCUGGUGUCCAGAAGGACCGCAGAGGAAGAGCCAUCCCACCACACAGGUUCUGGUGUCACAGAAGCGUGAGGUCACAGCCCGUGACACUGUGGCCACCAGCAGUGCCAAGAACAGCCCCCAGCACCUCUCCCCACAGCUUUGCAUUGCCAUCCAAG
ensembl:lncRNA